AGGACGAACGCUGGCGGCGUGCUUAACACAUGCAAGUCGAGCGGAAAGGCCCUUCGGGGUACUCGAGCGGCGAACGGGUGAGUAACACGUGGGCAACCUGCCCCUAGCUCUGGGAUAACUCCGGGAAACCGGUGCUAAUACCGGAUAUGACCUCAUUUGGCAUCCUUUGAGGUGGAAAGAUUUAUUGGCUAGGGAUGGGCCCGCGGCCUAUCAGCUUGUUGGUGGGGUAAUGGCCUACCAAGGCGACGACGGGUAGCCGGCCUGAGAGGGCGACCGGCCACACUGGGACUGAGACACGGCCCAGACUCCUACGGGAGGCAGCAGUGGGGAAUAUUGCGCAAUGGGCGAAAGCCUGACGCAGCGACGCCGCGUGAGGGAUGACGGCCUUCGGGUUGUAAACCUCUUUCAGCAGGGACGAAGCGAAAGUGACGGUACCUGCAGAAGAAGCGCCGGCCAACUACGCGCCAGCAGCCGC
rnacentral:rRNA from 1 species